UACAGAGGUCUCAACCGUUGUUCGGAUUCAUUGGGCGUAAAGGGUGCGUAGGCGGUCGCGCAAGUCGGAUGUGAAAUCUCAGGGCUCAACCCUGAAACUGCAUUCGAUACUGCGUGGCUAGAGUGCUGGAGAGGAGACUGGAAUUUUACGGUGUAGCAGUGAAAUGCGUAGAUAUCAGGAGGAACACCGGUGGCGAAGGCGGGUCUCUGGGCAGUAACUGACGCUGAGGAGCGAAAGCGUGGGGGAGCGAACAGG
rnacentral:rRNA from 1 species